GAAUAAAGGAAAAUUCAAUUUUAUUUAUAAUAAGUUGGGGUCUUACAGCAUAUUAUUGUACUUUUAUCACCGGGUAUUUCAACGGGUUAAAUGCAAAGUCGAUCACUUAACUUUAAUAGUUUUUGGGUAUUGAGCCCCUUUCUUCUGAUCAACGCAAACUGAGCCCUUUUCUAUUAAAAAUUUUGGACUUUGAACCCCAAACGCCACAUGUUCGUUGACCUGAUGACGUGGC
rnacentral:lncRNA from 1 species